rnacentral:rRNA from 1 species
GGAUUAGAUACCCUGGUAGUCCACGCCGUAAACGAUGUCGACUAGUUGUUGGAGAUCUUAGUAUCUUUGGUGACGAAGCUAACGCGAUAAGUCGACCGCCUGGGGAGUACGGCCGCAAGGUUAAAACUCAAAUGAAUUGACGGGGGCCCGCACAAGCGGUGGAGCAUGUGGUUUAAUUCGAAGCAACGCGAAGAACCUUACCUGGUCUUGACAUCCUGCGAACUUUCUAGAGAUAGAUGGGUGCCUUCGGGAGCGCAGUGACAGGUGCUGCAUGGCUGUCGUCAGCUCGUGCCG